rnacentral:rRNA from 1 species
UACGUAGGGUGCGAGCGUUAAUCGGAAUUACUGGGCGUAAAGCGUGCGCAGGCGGUUCGUUGUGUCUGCUGUGAAAUCCCCGGGCUCAACCUGGAGAUGGCAGUGGAAACUGGCGAGCUUGAGUGUGGCAGAGGGGGGUGGAAUUCCGCGUGUAGCAGUGAAAUGCGUAGAGAUGCGGAGGAACACCGAUGGCGAAGGCAACCCCCCUGGGCUGACACUGACGCUCAGGCACGAAAGCGUGGGGAGCAAACAGG